CGAAAGUGACGGUACCUGCAGAAGAAGCGCCGGCUAACUACGUGCCAGCAGCCGCGGUAAUACGUAGGGCGCAAGCGUUAUCCGGAAUUAUUGGGCGUAAAGAGCUCGUAGGCGGUUUGUCGCGUCUGCCGUGAAAGUCCGGGGCUCAACUCCGGAUCUGCGGUGGGUACGGGCAGACUAGAGUGAUGUAGGGGAGACUGGAAUUCCUGGUGUAGCGGUGAGCGGUGAAAUGCGCAGAUAUCAGGAGGAACACCGAUGGCGAAGGCAGGUCUCUGGGCAUUAACUGACGCUGAGGAGCGAAAGCAUGGGGAGCGAACAGGAUUAGAUACCCUGGUAGUCCAUGCCGUAAACGUUGGGCACUAGGUGUGGGGGACAUUCCACGUUUUCCGCGCCGUAGCUAACGCAUUAAGUGCCCCGCCUGGGGAGUACGGCCGCAAGGCUAAAACUCAAAGGAAUUGACGGGGGCCCGCACAAGCGGCGGAGCAUGCGGAUUAAUUCGAUGCAACGCGAAGAACCUUACCAAGGCUUGACAUGUGACCAGACCGCUCGCAGAAAUGGGGUUUCUCCUUCUGGGGCCGGUUCACAGGUGGUGCAUGGUUGUCGUCAGCUCGUGUCGUGAGAUGUUGGGUUAAGUCCCGCAACGAGCGCAACCCUCGUUCCAUGUUGCCAGCACGUAAUGGCGGGGACUCAUGGGAGACUGCCGGGGUCAACUCGGAGGAAGGUGGGGACGACGUCAAAUCAUCAUGCCCCUUAUGUCUUGGGCUUCACGCAUGCUACAAUGGCCGGUACAAAGGGUUGCGAUACUGUGAGGUGGAGCUAAUCCCAAAAAGCCGGUCUCAGUUCGGAUUGGGGUCUGCAACUCGACCCCAUGAAGUCGGAGUCGCUAGUAAUCGCAGAUCAGCAACGCUGCGGUGAAUACGUUCCCGGGCCUUGUACACACCGCCCGUCAAGUCACGAAAGUUGGUAACACCCGAAGCCGAUGGCCUAACCACCUUGUGUGGAGGGAGCCGUCGAAGGUGGGACUGGCGAUUGGGACUAAGUCGUAACAAGGUAGCCGUACCGGAAGG
rnacentral:rRNA from 1 species